UACGGAAGGCAGCAGUGGGGAAUAUUGCACAAUGGGCGCAAGCCUGAUGCAGCCAUGCCGCGUGUAUGAAGAAGGCCUUCGGGUUGUAAAGUACUUUCAGUCGUGAGGAAGGUGUUAAGGUUAAUAACCUUAGCAAUUGACGUUAGCGACAGAAGAAGCACCGGCUAACUCCGUGCCAGCAGCCGCGGUAAUACGGAGGGUGCGAGCGUUAAUCGGAAUUACUGGGCGUAAAGGGCGCGCAGGCGGUUAAUUAAGUUGGAUGUGAAAUCCCCGGGCUUAACCUGGGAAUGGCAUUCAAGACUGGUUAGCUAGAGUCUUGUAGAGGGGGUAGAAUUCCAUGUGUAGCGGUGAAAUGCGUAGAGAUGUGGAGGAAUACCGGUGGCGAAGGCGGCCCCUGGGACAAAGGACUGACGCUCAUGUGCGAAAGCGUGGGGAGCAAACG
rnacentral:rRNA from 1 species